UGGGGAAUAUUGCACAAUGGAGGGAACUCUGAUGCAGCGACGCCGCGUGAACGAAGAAGGCUUUCGAGUCGUAAAGUUCUUUUAUCUGGGAAGAUAAUGACGGUACCAUAAGAAAAAGCCCCGGCUAACUACGUGCCAGCAGCCGCGGUAAUACGUAGGGGGCUAGCGUUGUCCGGAAUCACUGGGCGUAAAGGGUUCGCAGGCGGGAAUGCAAGUCAGGUGUAAAAGGCAGUAGCUUAACUACUGUAAGCAUUUGAAACUGCAUAUCUUGAGAAGAGUAGAGGUAAGUGGAAUUUUUAGUGUAGCGGUGAAAUGCGUAGAUAUUAAAAAGAAUACCGGUGGCGAAGGCGACUUACUGGGCUCAUUCUGACGCUGAGGAACGAAAGCGUGGGUAGCAAACAGG
rnacentral:rRNA from 1 species